UAAGACUCCCAGCAAUAGUGUAG
rnacentral:piRNA from 1 species